AGGGCAGAGUGAGGAUUUUCCCACCUUGAUGCAGGACCCCACUUUGCUGAAUUCCUGGAGGGAGAGAUGCAAAGCCCAGCUGGAUGUGAGGGAACCAUCUGAGCCAAAAUAGGAGCUGAAGCCCCAGAAAGUGGUGGGGUAGAGCUGUGAAUCCUAGCAACAGGCGGGGAAAGAACUGUACGUUUCUUCACGUCCUCCAAGUGUUGGUGCCUUCUGGUACAUCACUGACAGGAAGACACAGAGACCAUGGAAAGGCCCUCCUUGCUGAUGCAUCAAGAAAGGGCACAUUUUUUUCCAGUGGGAUGGUCUGUUGCACAGGAGCUGCCGGCCAUGCUGUUCCAGUUCAGGGGCUCCUGCAACAGAAAAGAUCAGCUGUUGGAGAACCCAUGGAAAGCCCUGGGGGAGAGCCAUGGCCGCAAGAGGACCAGGUGAUUCCAGACACAGCUCUAGCAGAUGGUUUUGGUGGUGGAAAGCACAAGGGGCUCACUCCCAGGAGCUGCUCAAGCAGUUAAGUCAAAAAUGAAGUGAUGCAUGCAGCAUGCCACAGCCUGGACAGCUCCCAGUGCUCCCCUCUGUACAGGCUGGCCCUGUUUAUGCACCCAGCUUUCCCUGUGCAUGAUCCAAAAUCUGCUGGAAUUGGGGGGCAGCCCUUUCCUGAGCCAGCUGGAGUCAGAGCACACAGGGUGUGAACCCCAGUUCUGGCAUCUCUUUGUGAUCCUGCCCACUGCAGCAUCGCCCUGAUGUCCCAGCACAUGCUGGGCUAUGCAAACCUGAUCAUGCCAGAGACCAGGAGAUUAUUUCUUUUUAAUGUUUACAUAUUCUAAUGUAAAACCUUCACCUUAUGCCCAUGGCAAAUAUUGCCAAAGUUGUGGAGUCAGGAAAGCAAAUCCAUAUUUAGUCAAUAUUAGCCCAAUAAAUAAAAUUUGAGAAUUAAAUGCAUUCUGUGCUUAGCAAAUGAAAAUUAGUUUCUGAUACGUGAGAAUUGGCUUUCUUAACAACAUAUCCCUUGUUUUAGUGAGAUAAUCUAGAGCUAUAAUAGGAAAUACAAACAUUUUUCAGAAGAACUAUACAUAAUUUAUGGAGAAGCAGGUCUGAAUUAGCUCUAGCAUUGCCCUGAGCUCUCCUACAGUCCAUAGGUCUGGAUCUCAGCUGUGCUCAUGGAUCUGCUCCCUCUCUCUGAUGAAACCCUCUCCCAGAAACAGUUAAACACAAGAAACCAGAAAUGAUCCAUAAAUUAGGUCUGGCUAUAGGUUCAAAAUCAUAAGUUAUGGCCUAUUGACCUCAUACUCUGAGGGGAAAUCAGAAGCAUUUUUCUAAAGAGCCACCACUGGAGGAAGGGAGGUUUAAUAUAUGGCACAGCAGAGACCAGCUGCAAAUAAAUACAGCACUGUAUAAUUGCAGGGAAAAUCAAUAAAUACCAUGGUGGUUAAAAUAAAGAUAUGCAUAUUGAGGCUCUGGGUUUGUGUGUGUGAAUAGUUGUUUCCCCAGAAGCAGAAGAUCAUUUUUUUCCUGAAUUAAAGCCUCAAAAAACAACAAAGGCAACAGCUCCUGUGCUGCCCCUUUUGCAAGGAGCAAGUUUCAGCUAUUGUUUCCCUCGGAGCAGCUCUGUGGGGUCGCCAUUAUUACCAUAAUUAAUAAGUGCAGUUUGCUCAUUUGAAAAAUUCCAGCAACAUUUGCUGCUCAGGCAUCGCGUCAGCGCGAGACACAAAAAAUCGCUGUGACAACUGUUCUGCAAGUUCAGGUUUUAUUGACGAGCACCACAAAGAGAUGAAGCCCAGAGCAAGUCCCUUUUCACUUUAAUAUUUAAACCUCUUUUAAGAGGACGUCAAUAUUAACUCCCAUAAUUGAUGCUGACAGGUGACUGCCUGGCCAUAAAAAAGGCAAGCGAUAGAAUUCAACAAAACCCUAAAUAACGACAACCAGGACUGGCCAGGGCAGUGGAGGACACUGGGAUGAAGGGACAAGCUCUCCUGCAUCCCUGAUGCAUCAAAGGGGACCUGGUGAUUCACCCAGGAAUGGAUGGAACCCUCUGGGCUCAGCUGAUUUUGUUCCCCCAGGUAAAUCUCUGGAUCUCCUGGAUGAGAAACCCAUCCUUGCUCAACCUCCAGACCAGCCAAUGCUUUUAAUAAAUAAAUACCAAUUGUAGCUAGUUAACCUCAGGAUUUCCAGCAUUAAAGAGAUUUCCCACAGGAGCCAGAGAGCACUGGAGGAAUGGAUAAAUGCAAAGUUCAUGGGGAAGAGGACACAGCCCUUUGCAAAUCUCAGUGUGAGGGGGAAAUACCCAGAAAGUGCUAUGAGACAGGAUCCAAAACCUGUAAUUUCCUGAUUUUCAUUGAUCUUAUUCUUAGAAAUGAGUGCAUUUUUUUUCUGUUUAAAAUUUGGGUUAAAGGCAGUUAGAAUUUGGAAUAAUGUGAAGCCAAGUUUUAAUGUAAAGUGUUUGAUAACCUGAGUAUUGUUGUUGUCUUUGCUCCAUGUACAAUCCAACCAGAAGAAAUGACACAGUAGAUCAAUCUCUUCAUUUAUUUAAAUGGAGCUAGAAAUUUUGCUGGCUUUGAGUUCCAGAUCACAGCAGAAGCCCAAAACUAGAGUGAUAAUGUUUUUAUUAAAGCUGAUAAAAGUAUUUUGAAUUUUGACUUUUCCUUAACUUCUUGAAAUUGAAGGGAGGGAAAGCACUAAAAUAUCUUGUACACAUUAAAAACGUUCACUACAGGGAAAAAUAUUUCAUUAGUAGGAAAUUGGGAUAUCUGAAAUGAGAGGUUUAAUAAAAAAUUUACUGGUAACAAUAUUGGCUGCAUAGACAGAAACUUUUCUGAAUAAACCCAAGGCACUCCAGUUAAGAUGUUUUAGGUGUUUCCAUUCUCACAUUCAUCCUUAAGCUCAAACCACCAAAAUUCCUUCCCAGCAAACAGCUCCUGCUCCACAGAUAUUUAACCAGGAUGUCCCAGCCAGCCCUUUUCUUUAUAUCCUUCAUGUUUUUUCUCCAUGCUUUGGGGCUCUCCAGGCAGUUUCUCCUCCUUGCAGAGGAAGGUGCACAGCAGAAGAUUUGGGAUUAAAGAGACAAUAAAAUGUCCCAACCACCGUCGUGCAGCAGAGAACAGGGCACGGAUUUAGAGCUAACAGAAAACAGAAGAGCUUUGUAGCAAUUAAAGCUGAGCAAAACCCACCAAAUGCUGGAGAAAAUAUAGUGGGGAGGAAAUCAUUGUGGUGUUACGAGUCUAAAAACAGAAAUCAAUGUUCUUAUUGUUCCCUGCAAGAGUUUCGCAAGGAGGGAUAAGCUGUGCCUAAGACUCUGGAUGGAUGUAAAAUAAAAAUUAGCAGCUAGAUCCUUAUAAAAAAUGGGAUUGGGAAGUUUUUGUUUAAAAGGCCCACUUGAACCAAGCUCUCCUGGUUGAUUGCUGCUGUUAGGGUUUGAAAUUGCUCCUACUGUAUAUAUAGCAUUUAAAAGAGAGAUGACCACUAACAUGAGCUAGCUGCCAGCAAAGAGGUGUGCUUUAAAUAAUAAUAUUAAUUUCUACAACAUUUGGUACUAAGUUAAAGUUGUAUUUGUGUGCAGAUAUAUGUGUGCAUGGGCACAUGUGUGUGUUAGCAGGUUUCAUGGCAAGGAAAGAGGCUGCUAGUGAAAAUUUGGUGAAAGUGCCUCAGCUUCCUCUUAGAGUUUGUUUUGGUUUUUUUUCCAUCCUGGCAUCACAAAUAAAAUCUCCUCUGUAUUGUACAGUGCUGCUCUGUACAGUAAUGCCUUUGUUACCACCAUGGCUCUUACUUAAGCAUCUGACUACAGUAAUUGUUUUAUACAUUAACUAUACUCCCUGAUGGUUGCCCUAUUAUCUCUUUUUUUUUUUUCCUCCAAAAUGGUGCUUGCAGAUAUUAGCAGCUUGAUUACUCAUUUUAUUAACAAUUUCAACACUGUGUCAGGGUUGAUUUGGGAAGUGGGGUGGUGGUGUUGGUGAUGGUGGGGUUGAGUUUCUGUGGUGCUUUGGUGCUUCACAGCAGCUCCAAAUCCUCAGGGAGAUUCGGAUUCAAUCCAAGUUGCACGUUCACCAUCCAUAGGAUGGAGACUCCUGGUUGUAGAAAAGCAUUUCCAUUCAGCUGCCAUCAGGGCCAAUGCUGGGCAAAAGUGAUUUGUGAAAAACAGGGGUGGAAAUGAUGGAUUAGGAAAGGGAGAGGGAUGCACCAAAUCACUGUGAGGCAGCUCCUGUAAGCACUGUGUAUGUGUGUGUGUGUACAUGCAAUAAUGAGGGAGCUCAGGAAGGCAGCACCAAUUUGAGAAGUCUGUGCACCUUUUAGACUUGAGCCAUUUCCAGUGGGAACUGGAAGGGAUCAGGCCCUGGAAGGGGCAGGAGAGGUUCCUGCAGCACAAAGCGCUCCCCUGCCUCGCUCAUGCGUCACUUCUGUCAUCAAAAGGAAAAUCAGAGCCUGAUGCCAGUUAUUAAAUAUCUUCAUUAUAAGGGCAUUCCUUCCAGCUGACUUUCAAUUUUGUUGUAUCUAGGGGCCCUGUGUUAAUAACUGCGUGCUAAGGACAAGUGUUCUUAAAAAACACUGACUAUUGAAAUCCUUAUAAAUAAUAUGCAGCUUCCUGCUCCUGAUUGAUAGAUAUAUUGUACAGCCAAGCCACCAUAAAGGCAAUAAAUACAUGUACUGUGAAGGGUCAUGAGUCUCAAAAUUAAAUCGAAUGCAGAAAUUGAGUCUUGACAGAAUCUGAAGGGAUAAUGUCUUAGCUUCUCCAAUUACGCAGUUCAACAUUUGGAUAAAUCAUAUGAAAGUAAGUAUUUAGCCCCAUUUUUCAUAAUCACUAUUAAUGAGAACAAAAUGGGAGCUGAGGGCAGAGGGAGAGAGUUCUGACAAGAUAAAUAGCAUAUGGGGUGUGUUGUCAGCCACAGAAAAAUCAAGACUGUUUAAACCCCCUAAACAGCAGGAAGGAAAAAUGCAGGGGGGAAAAAAAUGUAGAAAGAAUAGUGGUCAUGUGUUAUUAUCAGCGACAGUCUCUAUGUCAGGACUUUUGAGAUCUGCCUUCCCAAACAGCACUUAGGCACAGAAGUAUCAGCUAGAGCUGCCCAGGAUGGUGUGAAUGACUGAUGCCCAGAGCACACCAUUUAAAUAUUGCCUGUUUGCACUCUGCCAGCAGCACUUAAAAACACCACUAAAAAAAUUCAUUAGAAAACCCACAGAUUUUUCCCUCUGACUGGUCCCUGUGGGUGCAGGACAGGUGGCUGUGCACACCUUCAGUGGCCACCUUGUGUGUCAGGGCAAUAAAACCAGGAGAAAUAGCUUUGCUUGCACGAGGCUUUCUCCAGCUUUCAUGCCAGGACAUGCACAGGAUGUGCAGGGCUUAAAGCAAGGAGAGGAAGGUAUAAAUUCCACAGUCAUUUUCUAUCAUCUUGUCUGUCUUUCCUGCUUUUCAAGUUGAAAUCACUUUAAGCAUCUGCGGCAAAAUUAUUCUUAGAGAGUCUCUCAUUAAAUUAGAUGUCUCUGAAUUGAAUUCAUUUCCACUCCAUUUUGUCAGCUGCUAACGCAGCAAGAGCCAGAUCCUGCUCAAAUUGGCUUUGAGGUUUGGUCCCUCUUUUUUAGGGGAGGAAAGAAGCUGUGGUUUCACACUUGUGCUGAGUUUUUCCCCACCCUGAAUUCCUGCCCUGCAUUUUGAAUUCUCAGGGAGCAUCCACUGCUCUUGCUCAGCAGCUGCCAGUGGCUGAACUCUGAUGUUACAAAUCCUAAUGACUCACUGGGAACCAAAUUAUAUCCAAAUACUCCUACAAUACAAAGCACAAGGCCACCUUUUGUCACCGAAUUAGAGCUACAAUAUCCCCACGAAAGUCCCCAGCAGUCUGUGCUCUGAGCCACACAUCCGCAUUCUGCGCCGCUCCGAAAAUGAGCAUUAUGCUCUAAACCCCUGCUUCCAGCCAUAAAUAUCCCAGCAAUCCAGGGGCAAAGGGACUGUUUCCAUAUCUCAUGCAACGUUAGCUGCUCGCAGAUUAAGCACGUGGGGCCUGGGGGAUUAUCUCCUUGAAUCAAUAUAAGGCAGGGAAGCAAACAAACAGCUGGCCGGGUUCCCCAAAAUAAAAGCGUUUGAUUGUGGCAAGCUUCAAAGCAACUGGUUGACACGAAAUAGGUUGGGUGCCCUCCCCUGCUGUGCCCGAGGAGCAGAGGGUAGCAGGGAAAUAAAUAAACAUCUAAAAAUUACUGCUCACUCCUCCCCCCGCCGACAAACCACCUCCCAGAGAAAAGCAGGGAAGCAAGGAAAAGCGCCCCAGAACAUAUGGCGGAAUCAAGCGCAGGAUCCCCGCAGGUUUGGGUUGUACAAGUAAAUAUUAAUCUGGGGGGGAUACUGGGGGCUGAGAUCAAAAGAGCUGCUCCCGUUUCUAUAGGGAAAAGGAGCGCUUUGAUGUCACGGCGUCUUCCCUGCGCCACCUAAUGAACUGAAAUUGUGACACAGUGACAUCCUGCAAGGUUUGAAAGCACUCAGCACAAUGACACGUCUGUGGGGCUUGCUGCUCUCUUUUUCCAGCAGCCUCCUGUGCCAGGAGGAAGGGUUCUGCUGGUGAGGGGGGAAUAGAGGCAGAGGGGCUUUGGGGAGAGAGAGGUGAGCGCUUCUGCCUCGGCCGCACACGGGGAGAGCAAAAGGGACUCACUGGGUCCUGCCUGAGCAGGAAAGGAUGGGGUAGGGAUGCAACACAAGGCAGAGGGUGAGUGAGCCCAAAGCCCCCACCAUCCAAGGCUGGCAGGACCAGAAUCAUCCUCACCCCACACUUUGUGCCCUCUGCACCCAGUUGGAGCCACAGUAUCCUCAGGGGAUGAUGGACAUGAAAAGAGUUUCAGGAAAAUGCAGAGUCAGAGGAAGGAUGAGCUCCUUGUCUGGGUCCCAUACAGGCAGAACCUCCUCUUGUUCACUUCAGGCCAAGAAAAUAAUACCCAGCAGGUAGAAAAAACAAUCCUACACACGCUUUCAGUCAAACAAAGGCCCUGAAUAUUUCACCCAGGCUCCCAGAGAAAGCACUAGAACAAAACCCUGUGUCCCCAUCCCAAGGAGGGCAGGGCUGAGCAGGGAUCACCCUGCAUGGAAUGGGCACAGCUGCCCAAACCCCCACUCUGGAUGUCAUGUGCUCUGAGGGAGGAAACCAGAGAGAAUGAAAAUUUAAAAAAAUCCUAAUAAACUGUGCAGCAAAACUCUCAGGGCAGGCAGAGAGGGAGGAAAGAUGGGAAAGUGGGAGGAAGAGAUGGUUUGCUAAGAAGGAUGACUCUGGGUGAUUUUGGGUGGAUCUCCUCCAGCCCUGCAUUGCUUGUGGAGUGUGGGUGGUUUAUUGGUUUAUUCAGCAUUUCUUUACCCACCCCGUGGCUCCUGGCAAGGACACAGAUCCCAGGAGACCCUGGGCAGCACCAGCAGUCAGGGCUGCACACAGUGCCCAGCCAUCACAGGGUUAAAUCCAGUUAAUCCCAGGGAUUUACCCCAGAUUAACCUGGGGGAAUUGAGAGCAGCAUUUGGCCCUGUGUAAAAGGGUUGGGCCAGG